CCUACGGGUGGCAGCAGUGGGGAAUAUUGCACAAUGGGGGAAACCCUGAUGCAGCAACGCCGCGUGAGUGAAGAAGUAUUUCGGUAUGUAAAGCUCUAUCAGCAGGGAAGAACAUUACCGUACCUGAUUAAUAAGCCCCGGCUAACUACGUGCCAGCAGCCGCGGUAAUACGUAGGGGGCAAGCGUUCUCCGGAUUUACUGGGUGGAAAGGGAGCGGUGACGGCAGUGCAAGUCUGGAGUGAAAGCACGGGGGCCAAACCCGGAACUGCUCUGGAAACUGUGCGGCUAGAGUACUGGAGGGGGAGGGGGAAUUCCUAGUGUAGCGGUGAAAUGCGUAGAUAUUAGGAGGAACACCAGUGGCGAAGGCGGCCUACUGGACAGUAAAUGACGUUGAGGGUCGAAAGCGGGGGGAGCAAACAGGAUUAGAUACCCCUGUAGUC
rnacentral:rRNA from 1 species